UUUUCAACAUGGAUCGCCAUGGGUAGCCCAUUUGGGAGGUUAGUCCAGGGUUUGAGGUCACUGUUAGGUUCUGUGAGUAAAAUCUAGGAUGAAAUACUCUUGAGAGAUAACCACAGGCUUCAAGGCUAGAGGAACAGCUAGAUCCUAUGCACUGGGAAAAGCCAAGGUUCAAAUACUUAAGAUCCAUGCUCAAUUCCAAAGUGAGGGUAGAGGCCAAAGCUAAGGAAAGGGUGAGAGUGCCAGAAGAUUAAAGUUGCAUGAACCUACUACUUCAUUAGGUGGCCUGGCCAGUUUAAAAGGCCAUGAUCUGAGCAGAAACCAUUAGACAGCAAAUCUGAGCCUAAUAAGAUUGGCUAAUAAAACAAGUGAGGUAGUUGAGCCUACAGUUGAAGUUUUUUUUUUGUUUUUUUUGUUUUUUUUUUUUUUUGAGACAGAGUCUUGCUUUGUCACCCAAGCUGGAGUGCAGUGGCAUUAUCUCAGCUCAAACAGCAACCUCCACCUCCUGGGUUAAAGUGAUUCGGCCACCUCAGCCUCCCAAGUAGCUGGGAUUACAGGUGCACGCUCCCAUGCCCGACUAAGUUUUGUAUUUUUAGUAGAGGGGAGGUUUCACCAUGUUGGCCAGGCUGGUCUCAAACUCCUGAUGUCAAGUGAUCUGCCUGCCUUGGCCUCCCAAAAUUCUGGGAUUACAGAUGUGUGCCACCACGCCCAGCCCUGAAGUUUCUUUUCAUUAGGUGAGAGGCCAAGGAAGAAAAUGACUCACAAGUGUGGUAAAAUUCACUUCUCUUAUUCUGUCAUCAGCCAGUGUGUGGCUGUAUACACCAUAGCUCUUCCAAGGCCAACUGAAUACCACUGCGGUACCCAAGGAAAGUUUUCUGCUCCCUGCCAAACUCCCUACUCCCUUUUCUACUAAGAGCAGAAAAUUUCUAACAGUGACGAUACAGUGUGUCUCCUGAGAAGUAGGCUCCUUUGCUAAAAUUCCAAACACAGCAUUCUGCUAGAACCCAAUCAAGAAGUCAUAGCCAGCACCUGACCUGCAGGAAAGAAAGCCUUCAAUGCCAAAGGAAAUGUGUACAGUUCUCUCACAGGUUCACCUUGGAGAAGGAUUAAUGCUUCUGAGAUGGAGGUUUCUUUGCUGUUAGGGUGAAACCAUGAGUGCCUGCAACUCUCUUUUAAUGGAUUCUGGAAGUGGAGGCCGUCUGCAUCUCCUGCCUCUGAAAGCUGGAAUCUGAAAGCAUCCAGGCUGAGCUGUAUCUAGACUUCGUAGUUAUGCAGCGGCUUCACUGCAAAAUUCAACCUCUAAUUCUAGUUGCUUAUGGCAUAAACAAAGGGAAAUGGCAGCUAUUUGGUGUGGUAAAUGAACAUUUUAGGAUUAUA
rnacentral:lncRNA from 1 species